rnacentral:ncRNA from 2 species
GUGAUCUGUCUGGGGUGCCACGUGCUGAGAAAUACCCAUUGAACCUGAAGCAGUUAAUACUGACGCAGGGAGACAAUGCGCUGAACCG